GGUAUCUAUGUUUUUAAUUUCUUGCUUAUUUUGUUGCAGCUGCUUAAAAAUGUGUCUUGAUAAAUUGCUUGAAAGUUUCGCAAAAAAAUUUUGGUUCAAUCUGCAUUUUUGAAAAUGAUUGUUUCAUAGUCUCAUCAUAUAGGGUUACAUCUUUUUGCUUAUACCUUUUCUUCUCUACACUUUUGGAAAUGAUUGUGUUUCAUAGUGUCUCAUCGUGAAUGUAUGGCCUUCAAUUGUUGAUUUUUGGCUUAGGUGAGAAGAACAUGGUUUUUAUUUCCGUGGAUUUGUCUAGGUGCAUUAGAAAGUAACUUCACAACUGAGGGUUAUUCAUUCCUCAAACAACUCCUUUUUGAUUUUAAGUUUUUUCUUAUUUCAAUUAUUUUGGUGCGACAAUUGAUUUUUAUUUGCAUUUAAUUGGUGGCUUGGCUUAUUCUGCAGCAGGUUGACAACUUGUCCCGAUGAGUUGCCAAUCUUUCAAAAAAAAAAAAAAAAAGGGUACGUCUACCUGCUUAUGCUUUUUCUUCUGUGCUCCUUUGGAUAUAUAAUUAUAUAAAUCAUUCUCACUCAUCCAAAAUGUAUAUUCUUCAACUUUAGGUUAUUUUUUCCUGACUUAGGUCUAAGGAGCACUGCUUUUCAUUUGCUGUGUCCUUUUAGUUCAGUGCAAGUGAUUCCUCCAACAUGCAACUAUUUCAUUCCAAAAGGGAUUGAGUGUUUUGUUUUGUUUGUUUUUUUCAAUUGUUAUUUUUAUUUUUAUUUUUUGCAUUGGCUUGGCUAUUGAUAUCUAUGUUUUUGAUUUCUUGCUUAUUUUGUUACAGCUCCGAAAAAUUUGUCUUGAUAAGUUGCUUGAAAGUGUCUCAAAAAAAAAAAAACAAAAAUAAAAUUGGUGUAAUCUUUACUACUUGUGCCUUUUCUGCUUUAUAUUUUUUGAGAUUAUUCUUUCUAUCAUAGUGUUUCAUCGAGAAUGGAUGGGCCUUUAACUUGAGUUUUUUGACUUAGGUGAAAAGGGUAUGGGGCUUUUCUUCCCCUGGAAUGGUAUGGGUGAAAGAAAAUGAUUCAUUUGAAGCAGUUCGUUUUCGAUUCUGAGAUUUUAUUUUUGUUCCCUGAUUUAGUUUGUAUUGUUGUUGUUUGACUUUUGUGAAAUGUCGGUGUUUAAUUGUAUGCUUAUUUUGUUGCAGCUGUUUGCCAAUGUGUCUCCGCAAGUUAUUAUCACAGUGUAAAAAUUUGGGUUGCAUCUUCUUGCUUAUGCCUUUGCUUCUCUGCAGUUUUGGAAAUGAUUGUUUCAUAGUCUCAUCAAAUUGGGUUACAGAUUCUUGCUUAUGCCUUUUCUUCUCUACACUUUUGGAAAUGAUUGUGUUUCUUAGUGGUCUCAUCAUGGAUGUAUGGCCUUCAAUUUUUGAUUUUUGGUAUAGGGUUGAAAGAACAUGGCUUUUUGUUUCCCUUGAUUCUUCUAGGUGCAUAAGAAAGUAACUUCACUACCAAGGAUUAUUCAUUCCUCAACUACUCCUUUUUGAUUCUAAGCUUUUUUUUUUUUAUUUCAAUUGUUUUGGUGCGACUGUUGAUUUUUAUUCACGUUUAAUUGGUGGGUUGGCUUAGUCUUCUGCAGCAGGUUGACAACUUGCCCCGAUAAGUUGCCAAGUCUUUCCCAAAAAAAAAAAAAUGGUUACAUCUACUUGCUUAUGCUUUUUCUUCUGUACCCCUUUGGAUAUAUGAUUAUAUAAAUCAUACUGACUCAACCAAAAUGUAUAUCCUUUAAUUUUUGGUUAUUUUUUUCCUGACUUAGGUUCAAAGAGCACCACUUUUCAAUCGCUUUGUCCUUUUGGUUCAGUGCAAGUGAUUCCUCCAACAAGCGACUUAUUUUUCCAAAAUAGAUUGGGUGUUUUUUUUUUAUUUCUUAUUAUUUUUUUUGCAUUUUUAAUUGCAUUGGCUUGCCUAUUGGUAUCUAUGUUUUUAAUUUCUUGCUUAUUUUGUUGCAGCUUCUAAACAAUGUGUCUUGAUAGGUUGCUCGAAAAUCUCGCAAAAAAAAUUUGUUUCAAUGUUUACUACUUGUGCCUUUUCUGCUAUAUAUUUUUUGAGAAUAUUCUUUCUUUCAUAGUGUUUCAUUGAGAAUGGAUGGGCUUUUUACUUGAGUUUUUUGACUUAGGUGAAAAGGGUGUGGCUUUUCUUCCCCUGUAAUGGUGUGGGUGAAAGAAAAUGAUUCAUUCGAAGCAAUCCAUUUUCUAUUUUGAGAUCUGACUUUGUUCCUCGACUUUAAGUUUGUAUUGGUGUUGUUUGACUUUUGUGAAAUGUUAGUGUUUAAUUGUAUGCUUAUUUUGUUGCAGCUGCUUUCCAAUGGGUGUCCACAAGUUAUCAUCACGUUCUGAAAACUUGGGUUGCAUCUUCUUGCUUAUGCCUUUACUUCUCUGCAGUUUUGGAAAUGGUUGUUUCAUAGUCUCAUCAAAUUGGGUUACAUCUUCUGGCUUAUGCUUUUUCUUCUCUACUCUUUUGGAAAUGAUUGUGUUUGAUAGUGUCUCAUCGUGAAUGCAUGGCCUUCAAUUGUUGAUUUUUGGCUUAGGUGGGAAGAACAUGGUUUUUAUUUCCCUGGAUUCGACUAGGUGCAUUAGAAAGUAACUUCACUGCCGAGGGUUAUUCUUUCCUCAACAACUCCUUUUUGAUUUUAAGCUUUUUCUUAUUUCAAUUAUUUUGGUACGACAAUUGAUUUUUAUUUGCAUUUAAUUGGUGGCUUGGCUUAUUCUUCUGUAGUGGGUUGACAGCUUGUCCUGAUAAGUUGCCAUUUAAAAAACAAAAUUGGUUACAUCUACCUGCUCAUGCAUUUUCUUCUGUAUCCUUUUGGAUAUAUGAUUAUAUAAACCAUACAGACUCAAUCAAAAUGUAUAUCCUUUAAUUUUAGGUUAUUUUUUCCUGACUUAGGUCUAAAGAGCACCACUUUUAAUUCCAAGUGAUUCCUCCAAGCAGUGACUUAUUCAUUCCAAAAUGCAUUCCAAAAUGCAUUGAGUGUAUUUCUUUUCUUUUUUUUUAAUUUUAAUUUUAAUUUUUGUGCAUUUUAAAUUGCAUUGGCUUGGCUAUUGGUAUCUAUGUUUUUAAUUUUCUGCUUACUUUGUUGCAGCUUCUAAAAAAUGUGUCCUGAUAAGUUGCUCGAAAGUUUCACAAAAAGAAAAAAAAAAAUGGUUCAAUCUUCACUACAUCUGCCAUUUCUGCUGUAUGUUUUUUGAGAUUAUUCUUUCUUUCGUAAUGUUUCAUUGAGAAUGGAUGGGCCUUUAACUUGAGCUUUUUGACUUAGGUUAAAAGGGUGUGCCUUUUCUUCCCCAGGAAUGGCGUGGGUGAAAGAAAAUGAUUCAUUCAAAGCAGUUCAUUUUUGAUUUUGUGAUCUGAUAUUUGUUCCCUGAUUUCAGUUUGUAUUAUUCUUUUUUGACUUUUGUGAAAUAUCGGUGUUUAAUUGUAUGCUUUUUUUGUCGCAGCUGCUUCCCAAUGUUUCCCUGCAAGUUAUUAUCGUAUUUUGAAAACUUGGGUUGCAUCUUUUCCUAUAUUCGUUUAGGUGCACAAGAAAGUAACUUCAUUGCCAAGGGUUAUUCAUUCUUCUAGAGCUCCUUUUUCAUUUGAAGCUUUAUUUUGUUUUAAUUAUUCUGGUGCGGCUAUUGAUUUUUAUUUUUGUUUAAUCGGUGGGUUGGCUUACUCUUUCGCAGCAGGUUGACAGGUUGUCCUGAUAAGUUGCCGAGUCUUUCAGAAAAAAAUUGGUUACAUGUACCUGUUUAUGCUUUUUGUUCUGUAUCCCUUUGGAUAUAUGAUUAUAUAAAUGAUACUGACUCAACCAGAAUGUAUAUCGUUUGAUUUUUGGUUAUUUUUUUCCUGACUUAGGUCCAUUUGGUUAUUUUGUUCCUGACUUAGGUCCAAAGAGCACCACUUCUCAUUCGCUGUGUCUUUUUGGUUCAGUGCAAGUGAUUCCUCCAGCAAGCGACUUAUUCAUUCCAAAAUAGAUUGGGUGUUUCUUGUUGUUGUUGUUUUUUUUUUUUUUGCAUUGGCUUGGCUUUUGGUCUCUGUUUUUAAUUCCCUGCCUAUUUUGUUGCAGCUUCUAAAUAAAUGUAUCCUUAUACGGUGCUGGAAUGUGCCAUGAGACAAUUUGGUUCAAUCUUUACUACUUGUGCCUUUUCUGCUUUAUAUUUUUUGUUAUUAUUCUUUCUUUCGUGGCUUUUCAUCGAGAAUGGAUGGGCCUUUGACUGGAAUUUUUUGACUUGGGUGAAAAAGUCUUGGAUUUUCUUCCCCUGGGAUAUUCAUUCCAAGCGGCUCAUUUUCAAUUUUGGGAUCUGAUUUUUGGUCCGUGGUUUCAAUUUGUAUUGGUAUUGAUUUUUGUGAAAUGUCAGUGUUUAAUUGUAUGCCUAUUUUGUCGCAGCUGCUUUCCGAUGUGCCUGCACAAGUUAUUAUGACAUUCUGAAAACUUGGUUUACAUCUUGCGUAUGCCUUAACUUCUGUGCACUUUUGGAAGUGAUUGUUUCAUAGUCUCAUCAAAUUGGGUUACAUCUUCUUGCUUAUGCCUUUUCUUCCCUGCACUUUGCGAGAUGAUUGUGUCUCAUCCUGAAUGUAUGGCCUGCAAUUGUUGAUUUUUUGCUUGGGUGAGCAGGACAUGGCUUUUCUUUUCCCGGAUUCGUUCAGGUGCAUAAGAAAGUAACUUCAUUGCCAAGGCUGCUUUCCAAUGUGUCUCGAGAAGUUAUUAUUACAUUCUGAAAAAUUGGGUAACAUCUUCUUGCUUAUGCCUUUUCUUCUCUACACUUAUGGAAGUGAUCUUGUUUUGUAGUGUCUCGUCCUGAAUGUAUGGCCUUCAAUUGUUAUUUUGGUCUUAGCUGAGAAGAGCAUGGUUUUUCUUUCCCUGUACUCGUCUAGGUGCAUAAGAAAGUAACUUCACUGCCGAGGGUUAUUCAUUCCUCAACAUCUUUUUUAUUUUAAGCAUUUUUUUUUUAUUUCAAUUAUUUUGGUGCUAUUUUUUAUUUCUUUGCGUUUAAUUGGUGUCUUCGCUUAUUCUUCUGCAGCUGGCUAACAACUUGCCCCGAUAAGCUGCCUAGUCUUUGUCAAAAAAUAAAUUGGUUACAUCUUCCUGCUGAUGCUUUUUCUUCUGCACUCUUUUGGAUGUAUGAUUAUAUAUAUCGUAAUGUCUCAACCAAAAUGCAUGUCCUUUAAGUUUAGUUUUUUUCCUUGUAUAUCUUCUCAAAAUAUUUUCAACAAAAUUAUUUCCCAAAAUUUUUCUACAAAGAAAGAAAUAAAAAUAUCUAAACUUAUAAAUAAAUAAAACUUUCCCUAUGCUAAUUAAGAGAAAUGUCAUUCAUUCCGAAGUAGUUUUUUUUUUUUUUUUGUAUUUUUAAUUGCAUUGGCUUGUCUGUUGGUAUGUAGGUUUUUAAUUUGUUGCUUAUUUUGUUGCAGCUUCUUAACAAUGUGUCUUGAUAAGCUGCUCGAAAGUUUCAUGAAAAAGUUUUGUUCAAUCUUACUACUUUUUCCUUUUCUGCUAUAUAUUUUUUGAAAUUAUUGUUUCUUUCAUAGUGUUUCAUUGAGAAUGUAUGGCCGUUCACUGGAGUUUUUUUUCGUAGGUGAGAAGAGCAUGGCUUUUUUUCCCUUUGUUCCUUUGGGCGAAGGGAUUACUCAUUCUUUCAAUGUGUCUCAGUUAGUUGCCUUGAGUUGCAGAAAAAUUUUGGUUCCUUUGGGCGAAAGGAUUACUCCUUCUGAUUAUGCUUUUUAUUCCGAACAUUUUUGGAAAUGUCUGCUUCUUAGUUUCUCACCCAUAAUGUAUGGCUUAAGUGGAGAUUUUUUUUACAUAGGUGACAGGAGCAUCUCUUUUAUUUAGCUGGGUUUUUUCGGUGUAAAGGAACUGAUGCGACUUCGAAGGGUUACUUACUCCUCAAGAGCAUCUUGUUUUUUCCAUAUUGGUUAACGUGUAUUGAUAGGUUGCCUAGAUUUUCCCAAAACUAUUGGUUACAUCUUUCUGUUUAUGUUUUCUUCUACACAUUCUUGAAAAGCAUUCUAGGGUCCAUAGUGUCUCAUCUAGAAUGUAUGCCCUUCCAUUGUAUUUUUCUUACUUAGGUGAGAAGAGCAUGGCUUUUCAUUCCCUGCAUUCUUUUGGGUGAAAGGGAGUGAGUGCACUGAAGGAUUAGUCAUUCUCCACCAGCUCCAUUUAGAUGCCGAGCUCUUUUUUUUUUUUUUUUUGUCACUAUUGAAUUUUUUUUUUUUUUUUUUUUGGGUUUGUUGUUUGGUAUCUUCUUGUUUAAUAUGUGGCUUAUCUCUAAGUUUUUUGACGUAGGUGAAAAGAGUGUGGCUUUUCUUUCCCUGGGUCAGUGUGGGUGAAAGAAAGUGAUUCAUUUUUUUUUUUUGGAGAUCUGAUUUUUGUUCCCUGAUUUCAUUGUUUUUUUUUUUUGGUAAUACCCUGAUUUCAAUUUUAAUUGUUAUGGUUUGACUUCUUUAAUGCUGGUCUUUAAUUGCUGACUUAUUUGUUGCAGCUGUGUUCCAAUGUGUGUUGACAAGUUAUUACAUUCUAAAAAAUUGGGUUACAUCUUUUUGCUUAUUCCCUUUUCUUCGCUGCACUUUUGGAAAAUGGCUGUGUUUCAGAGUGUCUCACCCUGAAUAUAUGGCUUUCAAUUGUUGAUUUUGGGCUUAGGUGAGAAGAACAUGGUUCUUUCCCUGGAUUUGUUUCGGUGCAUAAGGAAGUAACCCUACUGCCAAGGGUUAUUCAUUCCCUAGCAGUUCCUUUUGGAUUUUAAGCUUUUUAUUUUAACGAUUUUGGUGUAACUUUUGAUUUCUGUAUUUGAUUGGCUUAUUAUUCUUUUGCAGCUGGUUAAUGUGUCCCAAUAAGUUGCCUAGUCUUUCAUAAAAAAAUUGGUUACAUCUACCUGCUUAUGCUUUUUCCUCUGUAUCCUUUUUGAUAUAUGAUUAUACAUAUCAUAAUGUCUCAACCGAAAUGUUCAGCCUUUAAUUUGAGUUUUUGGUUACAUUUACUCCCUUUUUUCUCUAUAUAAGAAAAAAAAAAAACUGUUGUGUAAAAUAUAUAUGGGCCAAAUGAUUUCACAAUUGCUCUCCAAUCCUUUGGUUCUUCUUUCAUAUUAAUUUCAUAAGUGAAAUGACGGAAUUGCCUCUCAAGUAAAAAAAUUAAAAGAAAAAAGAAAGAAACCCCCAUUGUCAUCGGUACCGUCUGUUGGACCGCUGGCGGUGGUGAGGUUGCUGGACUCCCCAUUGUCGGGUUUGUGCUUGGUUUACUACUUAAAUUUUUUUUGCUAUAUGUUAUUAAAGGGCUGGGUUAGGUGGCCAAGGGUCAUGGGAUCAUACCUUUCUUUGGCCACCUAAAAAGUUUAUUUUUCAAAUAAAAAAUUACUAGCGCCGGAGCUUCAAUGACUAGUUGUCGGUGACCUUGCUGGUAGCAGGGACUCUGGUGACCUCGCCACUGGCGGUGGUCUGACGGUCGGUGACAGUGGGGAUUUCUUUUUUCUUUUUUUAGUUUUUUAACUUGAGGGGCAAUUUCAUCAUUUUGCUUUAUGAAAUUAAUAUGAAAGAAAGAGCAGAGGACUACAAGGCAAUUAUGAGAUCAUUUGAUCCUUGUGUUUACAGUGCUAUUUUCCUGAAAAAAAUUAUAUCACAGUUACUAUAAUAAUUAUGUUUGUAAAUAAAAAAAUUAAACUAAAAUAUUCUAUGUUAAUCAACAUAAGUAUGUAUUAUUUCUUGAACAAUGAUUUAAAAAAUGUGUAAUAAAUAUUUAUUAAAAUAAAUGAUUUUGUUUAUAUAAAAAAUAAAUAAAAAAUAAUAGUUUCUUUAACAAUAAAAAAUAGGGGCAGUACAUGCUUAUGCUUUUUCUUCUUUGUCCUUUUGCAUAUAUGAUUGUACAAAUCAUAGUGUCUCAAUCAAAAUGUAUAGCCUUUAAUUUGAGUUUCUUCCCUUACUUUGUUUAAAAGAGCACCACUUUUCAUUUGCUGGGUUCUUUUGGUUCUGUGGAAGUGAUUCCACCAAGAACUGUCUUUCAUUCCAAAAUAGAUUGAGUUUCUGUUUCAUUUUCCGUUCUAUUGAUUUAACUACUGGUAUCUAGGUUUUUAAUUUGUUGCUUAUUUUGUUGCAGCUGCUUAACAAUGUGUUUUGAUCAAUGAAUGAAAAAUCAGACUGGAUUGGUUCAACUUACCGGCGAACUGGCCUCUUUCCGGUUCGAUUUUUCAUUUGAGCUGCUUCUUUGCUGUUUGCCGUUCGCGAUCUACUCUUUGCUUCCUUCUCAUUUUUAUUUCUCCCUUUGUGGCACCGUCAAAGUCGUCUUUGGCUUUCUGCACACGCUUCCAGUCUUCUUUCUCCCUAACCGACAUUUAAGCCACUAACCCUUGAACUACUAACAAUCGAAAACAUACCGGUUUGGUUUUCAGUGCCUUGGUCUUGAUAGUGUUUCGUGAAAAAUUUGGUUUUCUUUUGAAGUGUUUGAUUGAGAAUGUAUGGCUUUUAACUGGAGUUUUUUUUUUUGACGUAGGUGAAAAGAGCGUGGCCUUCCCCCCCCCCCCCCCUUUUCGUUUUGGUGAAAGCAAGUGAUUCCACUUAGGAGGGUUACUCAUUUCCCAAUGGUUCUAUUCCUAUUGCAAGAAUUAUUUUCCCCCACUUUGAAUUUCGAUUGUUAUUUUUUUUUUUUUUCAAAUGUCGGUGUUUAAUUAGAGGCUUUUUUAUUGUUGCAGCUUGUUUUCAAUGUGUCUUGAUAAAUUUGUCUUUAGUUGCAGAAAAAUUUUGGCUAAAUCUACCUAGUAUGCUUUUUAUUCUGAACUUUUUCAGAAAUGACUGCUUUGGUGUCUCAUCUUGAGAUUUUUGAUAGAGGUGACACGAGCAUCUCUUUUCUUUCACUGGGUUCUUUCAGGGUAAAGGAAUUGAUGCCACAUAAAUGGGUUACUUACUCCUCAAGAGCAUCUUUUGUUUUUCUUUUUUUACGGUCCAUAGUGUCUCAUCUAGAAUGUAUGCCCUUUAAUUGUAGUUUUCUGACAUAGUGAGAAGAGCAUGGCUUUUCAUUCCCUGCGUUCUUUUGGGUGAAAGGAAAUGAGUGCACUGAAGGGUUAGUCAUUCUCCACCAGCUCCAUAUAGAUGCUUAGCUUUUUUUUUUUUAGCUAUUUAAUUUUUUUGGGUUGACGUUUGGUAUAUUGGUGUUUAAUAUGUGGGUUUGAGUUCCACAAACAGUUUGUCCUUCUUGUGCCUUUUCUUCUAUGGGCCUCUUGAUUUUUCUCAAUAAGCCUUUUAACACUAUCAUGUGUUCCAUAAUGUGUUUCGUCCUGAUUGUAUGGCCUUUAUAUAGUGUUUGUUUUACUUAGAUGAAAAGAGCGUGGCUUUUCUUCCCCUUUGUUCGUUUGGGGUGAAAGAAAUUGAUUCCUCUGGUUUUGCUUUUUAUUCUAAACAUUUUUGGACAUGACUCUGCUUCAUAGUGUCCAAUCCAGAAUGUGUAGCUUAACUGGUGACUUUUUGACAUCAGCAUCUCUUUUCUCACUGGGUUCUUUUGGUGUAAAGGAAUGGAUGCUAAACAUUUUUGGACAUGACUGUGCUUCAUAGUGUCUAAUCCAGAAUGUAUAGCUUAACUGUGUGACUUUUUGACAUCAGCAUCUCUUUUCUUUCACUGGGUUCUUUUGGUGUAAAGGAAUUGAUGCUACUCCUCAAGAGCAUCGUCUAUAUUUAAGUUGCCUAGAUUUUACCCAAAAAAAAAAAAAAUUGGUUAUGUCUAAUUCUUUCUUUCACGCAUUCUUGAAAAUUAUUCUACGGUCUUUAAUUGGGGUGUUUCGAUGUAGGAAGAGCAUGGCGUUGCUUUCCCUUGGUUGGUGUUUAAUUAGAGGCUUGUUUCGUAUAGUGUUUAAGUCCUAUUGAACUGACUGCUACAUAAGGGUAAAUUUGAACCUGAUUGUUGCGCCAUAGCAUGAUACACUGGUUUAGGAUUGAUGGCGUGCGCGCACAUAUGUUCCUGUGUAUUCAUUCUCUUAGCAAGAGUACGUUUUAUUGAACAAGCACUAGGUAAGAAACCAUUGAAUUUGAUUGCAACAAACCGAUCCCAUCGCCAACUGCUCGUCUAAGACCGUUGCUUGUUGCUUGGUAGCCAAUUUCUCACUCUUAAGGGUACUCGAGUGUACCAGCUCAAUAUGUUUCUUCUGUGACAUCAUUCCAGCUACCAUCUGAUCUUCCUUUGGAUCUUGCUAGGCUUGUCUCAUCGAAAAAUAGUGAGAGUAAUUCUAUAAUGAUAAUAUAGAAUAAAGUUAGGAGGGGUCAGUUGUUUAUUCAUGAUAUGCUAGUUGCUUAGCAGGUUUAUAAAGUUAAAUACAAUUUCAUCCUCUACUGCUUAUGCUUUCUUCUAUACAUUCUAGAUGUCCUUUAAUUGUAGUUUUCUGACUUAGGUGAAGAGAGCAUUGGAUUUUCAUUCCGUGUUCUUUUAUUUGUUUGCCCUUGUACCUUUCUAUAAGCUUUUCGAUUUUCUUCCAUUGGCAGCCUUUGGACACUAUUCUUUUUACAUUUCAGUCCUCGAUUAAUACUCAAUUACUCAUUAUUUUCCAAUGCGAACCAGCCAUAAUUAAUAGGGACAAUCAUAAAAUCCCUGAUAAUCAGGAUUUUUGAAAUGCCAUAAUUUUUUUAAAAUUCUUGGGUAUUUUUAUGAUAUUAAUGAUUUUCAAUUAAAUGAUUAAAUUAUUCUUUGUUUAAAAUGAUUACUUCUGUAAAUUAUGAGAAUUAAAUAAAAAAUUAUUUUUUUAUGGGAAUUUUUUUAUCAUUGAAGUUUUAAGUUUUGAAAAUAACUAAUUAUGAUUUUUGUUUAUACAGUUACAAUUUUUAUUUAGUGAAUUGUAAGUAUAUUUUUUGGCAAGAACUUAUUAUUUUUUAAUUUUUAAAUAAGAGGCAAAUUUGUCUAAUUAAGAUACUUAGGGACUUAAAAAAAUUAUAGAAUUUUUUUAAGAGAUUUGAUCAUCAUUUAUAUAUUUUGUUAGACUUUUAUUGUUAUUUGCUCUAAUUAAUACCCUUAUCCCUUUUAUAUGACCCCAUCGUCUUUUAUGUGACCCAGUUUUCGACAACCAUUGGUCUUUUGUAAAGUACCAAUUUUUCAAUUCUAAAAAAUAUAACAAAAUCUUCUCGAUGUGUUAUACCCAAAUCAGUGAUUUCUUUUCCAGCGCUAGUAAAUGAUUUAACCAUUACUAUAUUUAAUUAGGGGUGCAGAUUUGAAAAGAAGGAAAAGAGAAAGGCAUAAAUUACGUCAAUGGUCUCUUUGAAUAACUAGUAUUUUGGAUUGGUCAUUGAAUCAGUGGAUAGGUUAAAUUGGGAUCAACCCAAUCGCAAUUAUAAUAAUAUAUUUAAUUAAAAUAUGAAAAUAUAUUAGUCCAAAUUUCUUUGUAGGAUAUAAUUGUUAACUAUUGGUGUAAAGGUUUGAAAAUGUUUUUUAUCUACAUUGUUUCAUAUUAUUGAACAAAUGAUUUAUAUUGUUUCAUAUUAUAUGGUACUUGAACGAAUAAUUUGUGUA